UUAAAAAGUGUUGCUAUAUGUGGGGUCGCUAGGUAUAUAGUGACAGUUAAAGCGUGUCGCUAUAACCUAAAAGAGUGCUGCUAAUUUACCAACAAUUUAUUUAAGCAUUUAGCAAUCGCCGAAACUCUAUCUCGUGGGCUGCGGUGGCGGAGGAGAACGACAGGAAUGGCUCUUCGUCUAGAAUUUCAGUGGAUUGAGUGAAGAGAGAAGAAAAUAUGGUAAUUGAUUUUUUUUUUUUUUCUUUUCUGUUUGUAAUCGGGCCAAAUGGACUGGGUGUAGUGGGUUGAAUAGAGUAAUCUUUUAUUUUUGAUUGGAUUGGGCUUUAUAUUUAGGCAUUAGUAGAUAUUUUUUAAAUUUUAGCAUAAAUGGGACACUUACUCAAAAGUGUCCCAAACAUGUAUCCCUAUAACCUAAUUCUGUUGUAGUGUAUAUAUAUAAUUUUAAUACAAAAACGCUUACACAUAAGCUCCAGUAAA
rnacentral:lncRNA from 1 species